rnacentral:rRNA from 1 species
UGAAUACGAGACGCUAAGGCGUCGAAGUAGUGUAUGUCAUACUUCCAAGAAAAGCUUGCACUGUCAUAGAUAAAAAACGCCUGUACCAUAACCGACACAGGUGGGUAGGUAGAGUAUACUAAGGGGCGCGAGAUAACUCUCUCUAAGGAACUCGGCAAAAUAACUCCGUAACUUCGGGAGAAGGAGUGCCUUAUUCGUAAGGUUGCAAUAACAAGAUCCAAGCAACUGUUUAUCAAAAACACAGGUCUCCGCUAAGUCGUAAGACGAUGUAUGGGGGCUGACGCCUGCCCAGUGCCAGAAGGUUAAAGAAGUUGGUUAGCAAUUGCGAAGCUGAUAACUGAAGCCCUGGUGAACGGCGGCCGUAACUAUAACGGUCCUAAGGUAGCGAAAUUCCUUGUCGGGUAAGUUCCGACCCGCACGAAAGGCGUAAUGAUUUGGAUACUGUCUCGGAGAGGGGCUCGGUGAAAUAGACUUGUCUGUGAAGAUGCGGACUACCUGCACCAGGACAGAAAGACCCUAUGAAGCUUUACUGUAACUUGAAAUUGAAAUUGGACUUUAUUCGCGCAGUAUAGGUGGGAGGCGUUGAUUAUAAUCUUGUGGGAUUAUUGGAGCCAUCAGUGAGAUACCACUCUUGUAAUGUUAGAUUUCCAACUUUGAAUCAUUAUCUGGUCAAAGAACAGUUUCAGGCGGGCAGUUUGACUGGGGCGGUCGCCUCCUAAACGGUAACGGAGGCGUACAAAGGUUUCCUCUGAACGGUUAGAAAUCGUAUCUAGAGUGUAAAGGCAUAAGGAAGCUUGACUGUGAGACCUACAAGUCGAGCAGGGACGAAAGUCGGUCUUAGUGAUCUGACGGUACUGAGUGGAAAGGCCGUCACUCAACGGAUAAAAGUUACUCUAGGAUAACAGGCUGAUCUCCCCCAAGAGUUCACAUCGACGGGGAGGUUUGGCACCUCGAUGUCGGCUCAUCGCAUCCUGGGGCGGUAGUACGUCCCAAGGGUUGGGCUGUUCGCCCAUGAAAGCGGUACGCGAGCUGGGUUCAGAACGUCGUGAGACAGUUCGGUCCAUAUCCGGUGUAGGCGUUAGAAUAUUGAGAGGAGCCUUCUUUAGUACGAGAGGACCGAGAAGGACAUACCUCUGGUGUACCAGUUAUCGUGCCAACGGUAAACGCUGGGUAGCUAUGUAUGGAGUGGAUAACCGCUGAAAGCAUCUAAGUGGGAAGCCCACCUCAAGAUAAGUAUUCUCAC